rnacentral:rRNA from 1 species
CCUACGGGCGACAGCAGUCGAGAAUCAUUCACAAUGGGGGAUACCCUGAUGGUGCGACGCCGCGUGGGGGAAUGAAGGUCUUCGGAUUGUAAACCUCUGUCAUGUGGGAGCAAAUUAAAAAGAUAGUACCACAAGAGGAAGAGACGGCUAACUCUGUGCCAGCAGCCGCGGUAAUACAGAGGUCUCAAGCGUUGUUCGGAAUCACUGGGCGUAAAGGGUGCGUAGGCUGUUUCGUAAGUCGUGUGUGAAAGGCAGAGGCUCAACUUUUGUACGGCAGUGGAUACUUGCGAGCUAGAAUGCAGUAGAGGUAAAGGGAAUUCGUGGUGUAGCGGUGAAAUGCUUAGAUAUCAGGAGGAACAUCGGUGGCGAAAGCGCUUUACUGGGCCGUAAUUGACGCUGAGGAACGAAAGCCAGGGUAGCAAAUGGGAUUAGAUACCCGGGUAGUC